GCAAAACUGCGUAACCGUCUUCUCGUUCUCUAAAAACCAUUUUUCGUCCCCUUCGGGGCGGUGGUCUAUAGUGUUAUUAAUAUCAAGUUGGGGGAGCACAUUGUAGCAUUGUGCCAAUUCAUCCAUUAACUUCUCAGUAACAGAUACAAACUCAUCACGAACGUCAGAAGCAGCCUUAUGGCCGUCAACAUACAUAUCACCAUUAUCGAACUCAACGCCCUGCAUACGAAAAGACAGAAUCUCUUCCAAGAGCUUGAUGCGGUUAUCCAUCUGCUUAUGGAAGCCAAGCAUUGGGGAUUGAGAAAGAGUAGAAAUGCCACAAGCCUCAAUAGCAGGUUUAAGAGCCUCGAU
rnacentral:rRNA from 1 species